rnacentral:rRNA from 1 species
GUUUCAGCAGCCGCGGUAAUACGAACCGUCCAAACGUUAUUCGGAAUCACUGGGCUUAAAGAGUCCGUAGGCGGCUCAGAAAGUAGGGUGUGAAAUCCCACGGCUCAACCGUGGAACUGCGCUCUAAACUACUGAGCUUGAGGGAGCUAGAGGUAAGCGGAACUGAUGGUGGAGCGGUGAAAUGCGUUGAUAUCAUCAGGAACACCGGAGGCGAAGGCGGCUUACUGGGGCUUUUCUGACGCUGAGGGACGAAAGCUAGGGUAGCGAACGGGAUUAGAUACCCGUGUAGUCC